UAACGGCCCACCAAGCCUUCGAUGGAUAGGGGUUCUGAGAGGAAGGUCCCCCACAUUGGAACUGAGCCACGAUCCAACUCUAUACGGGAGGCAGCAGUGAGGAAUAUUGGUCAAUGGACGAGAGUCUGAACCAGCCAAGUAGCGUGAAGGAUGACUGCCUAUGGGUUGUAAACUUCUUUUAUACGGGAAUAAGUGAGGCACGUGUGCCUUUUUGUAUGUACCGUAUGAAUAAGGAUCGGCUAACUCCGUGCCAGCAGCCGCGGUAAUACGGAGGAUCCGAGCGUUAUCCGGAUUUAUUGGGUUUAAAGGGAGCGUAGGCGGACGCUUAAGUCAGUUGUGAAAGUUUGCGGCUCAACCGUAAAAUUGCAGUUGAUACUGGGUGUCUUGAGUACAGUAGAGGCAGGCGGAAUUCGUGGUGUAGCGGUGAAAUGCUUAGAUAUCACGAAGAACUCCGAUUGCGAAGGCAGCUUGCUGGACUGUAACUGACGCUGAUGCUCGAAAGUGUGGGUAUCAAA
rnacentral:rRNA from 1 species